UUGUUCAUUUUUUGUUCGCCAUUCUCUCGCAUACUCUCUCUCUCUCUCUCUCUCCAUUCUAUCUCUCUCUGCUCUCUUCUCUCACCCUUUUUGUCCCCCUCUCCUCUCAACCUCUCUGCUUUCCGGGGUUUUUAUGCAACUCUCUACUCUCAUUCUCUCUGUUUCUUCCUUAUCUCAUCCUCUCUAUCUUCCAUCACCCUCUCUAUUUCUCUUUGUAGGUCUAUAGAGUGGAGAUGGGUGAUCUGAAACCAAAAGGCUUCAGAUCAGAUUCUUGGCCAUUCCUUCCUAAAAAUGAUGUUGAACUCAAUUCCUAGCUUGAUCGUUCCAAGAUGGUCACAACAGGGAGAAUUUGAAAGCAGAGCUCGGAUGGUGACCUCUUUCGUGAACACAAACCAAUGGCUAAGAAACUUGGUGAUCCAGGUGGCAGUGCAAGAGAGGAGGGCUUUUUGGGUGCUCUCAGGUGGUAGUUCGGGAGUGGAGGAUCAAGAAUCUGCUUUUUGCUUUUUGAAUUUUGUAUCUUUAUUUGUUUUUUCAUUUUUUUGUAUUUGCAUGUUGAUGUAUGUACCCCCAAGUGAACUUUCCUGCAACAUUCUUUUGUAUUUUAACAUUUUAUAUUAUCUUGCUUACUCCCUGCAA